GAACUUCCGCACAGGAAGAGGAGAUUCCUGCAAGGAAGGCCGGGAGGAUCAGGAACGGCCCUGGGCAUCACUUGUCCUCUGGCUUAGCUAAAGACACUGAAAACAGCAGUGUGUGCGCGUGUGAGGGGGCUUAGGGCCGCGUGGAGUGAUGUUCAAAGACCUUCAAGUAGGAUGCCAAGUGCCAACCGCUGUGCCGGACUGUUUGCUUUGCUUCUCCCUCUGCAGCCGUAAAAAUGAAGGGAAAUAAUCAGGAGAUAACCCACCACGCCACGCAUUCCUUCUCCUUUGUUCACUUUUAUCCCUCCGUUGGGUGGUGGUGGGG
ensembl:lncRNA